UAGCUGCAGCCGACUUUUGCAUCAGCUCAAAGUAUACUCAACAUCCACAUUCUAUAUUUCUAGGCCAUUUCCGUCUGCAAAAUGAAGCUCUUAGCUAUUGCUGUCAUCUUGUGCCUAGCUGUGCUGUACACUGAGGCUUUACCAGCCGAAAUGCCAUCUUCACCACUGCUGCUCAGUCGUGUCGCCAGGUCACCUCACUUCCCUCAAGACUGUAUCCCGUGUACUUGUAAAACCACCAUCACACACAUUACCAUUAUCGAACAUGAAGUAAGGCCAACAGC